rnacentral:lncRNA from 1 species
AUCAAGGCUGCGAGCACAUGGAAUGGAAGCUUGAGGUUCAAACAAAGGAACCGGUGUGCGAGCAAAACGGACGGCAAAUCGCAGUGCACGGAGAAAACAGCAUUUACAGUGGAGGACAGGCACGUUGUGUACGUAUUUCUCAUGGAGAACUGAUACUCAAUUAGUGCUCCACAACUAGUCAGCUGCCACCUGGAGGUCUGGGCAACAAAUACAGUUCAGUGCAUGACAUUUUACAAAUUUCAAAAAAAAAAACCCUCACCACAAAAAGACUGCCCAUGACAUUGGGUUGUACCACAAAGGAAACGAGUACUACCAUACAAUAAUAAUCCAUAGCUUUCCACGACAACACAGAUACAGCAAAAUAGUAACAUGAAAGGCAAUAGCAAAAUACAAAUUUCAGAAUCAUAAUAUAUGAUCAUGUGGAUAGAUAAAUAUAAAACCAGAUGACCUGCCUCCAAAAGCAAUCACCGUGAUAAGUAAACUGCAACAAAUGAUAAUGGCACAGAAGGCAGCCAAGCACCAUCACUGCAAUCAGUGCCUCAAGUUCUGCUAAAGACAAAGCAGAACACAUUCACAGCACAAAGGCACAAAACUGUAUCAACCAACACAAGCCUCAAAAAGCCUUCGCCGUGAAAAGACUAUCGUGAGAUAAUUAUGUAGCAUUCAUAAAUAGUACCAUAGUAAGUACCACAAUCAAAAAAUUGACAGUAAAGAACAACAUCCAGGGCAAAACAGAACCCAAAGUUGACUCCCACAGUUCUUAACUAUAUUGAAAGCGCAUUUAGACAACUCUCAAUGAGUAGAGCUUUUCACUCAACCCAUCCUAAGCCUCUGCUGUCUCAGUUGGAGCCUCAAGCACAAGACCCUUGGUGGGCUUUCCCAGAAGGUCUGUGAACUGCUGGAAUGGAGUCAUGGAGAAUUUGGUCUGAGUCCAGAAUUCAGGAGUAAGGAAGCCAUAGGUCUUCAUCAAGCAGUCGAAGGUCGCCUGCACAUAACCAAAACAAAUUACUAAUAAAUGCCACUGGAUAGACAUCUAUAUAUGAAUGUAUGAAUUAAAUUGCAGCAGAACAAAAAUACUAAUAUAUUAUAUGUUAAUAGGUCAACUGUUGCGUAACUACAAAACAAACUUAAGUUAGUUUAGAAUUUUCGAUACUCCAUGACUCACGAGCUAAGUAUAUUUAACUUUAGAUACCACACUGUUCACAAACUAAUAUCAUACAAAAUUCCAAUACAGGCCAUUAAGAAAAAAGAAUCCGGUGCUAGAAAAGUAGCCACCCAAUAAUAAAUGUCAAAACAGUUUAAAAUUACAGCAAACUAGUACAUCUAAAUAUGAAUUGGAACCUAACAUGAAUGAGAUUUUGACAAUUAACAUCCAAUCCGCGAGCCUUUCAAUAUUUGACACUGACAUCAUAAUGAUGUGUAGAGAGUCAAUCUGAGUCAUUGACAUGUGGGUCUGGGUGUCAAAUUGUGGAAGGCUUUAGAUGUCAAUUAAAUUCUCUGAAUGAAUUAGGCAAAUCAUAAGAACAAUAUACAGACAGUGUCCGCUGCAAUUUUGUAAUCGCAUCAAGUACAGUUAAUUGAUCCUAGCAUAUGAUACUUGAUCAAGAUAACACUACAUGUUCAACAUUUCACAUAAAUAAACAUAUUCAGCUCAUCCUUGCAUUCCAUAAUACCAGUCCUAAGGUGCAGAAUUUGCGAAUGACAAGUAUAAAAGAAGCAUCACAUCAUAAUAUGAAUAAGAGCGUAAUAGUACCUUGACGAAGUUGCCAAGGGUCUUAGUGGAGCCACGGGACGAGGUGAAGACAUCCUCAAUGCCAGCGAACUGCAGCACCUUCUUGGGCACACGCGCGGCGACGAUGCCAGAACCCCUGGGUGCGGGCACCAUGCGCACGGUGACGGAGCCACACUUGCCGGUGACCUUGCAGGGCACUGUGUGCGGCUGCCCGAUCUUGUUACCCCAGUAACCCCUCCUGACGGGGACGACAGAGAGCUUGGCGAGGAUGAUGGCGCCGCGGAUGGCUGUGGCCACCUCCUUGGCGCACUUGACUCCCAGGCCGACGUGACCGUCGCCAUCGCCGACGACGACGAAGGCCUUGAAGCGGGUGCGCUGCCCGGCGCGGGUCUGCUUCUGGACUGGAGUGAUCUUCAUGACCUCAUCCUUGAGCCCCGGGACGAGGGUCUCGAUGAUCUGGUGCUCCUUGACGGGGAGCGAGUGGAGGUAGAUCUCCUCGAUCUUGUUGAUCUUGCUCUCCUUGACGAGGCGGCCGAGCUUGGUGACGGGUACCCACUUCUCUUCCUCCUGACGCGGGCCACGACGGCCGCCGCGGCGCCCGCCACGGUCGCCGCGUCCACCGCGCCCGAAGCCACGGCCGAACCCUCCGCGCUCGCCGCCACGCUCACCGCCGCGCUCCGCCAUGGCUGGGUGAGGAAAGGGUGGGGUGCUCCGGAGAGUGACGGAGGAUGAGGGUUUGGGGGCUGCGGCGGCGCGAAGAGUGGCGGUGGUGGAGGCGAGGAGCUAUUUAUGUCGAGGGAUGGAACUAGGGUUUUCCAGGAGAUGCUGCGCGGAGGCCGUGGGCUGAAACAUGGGCCAGGAUGCUGUAAUCGACCUUCGAAUUUUGUUUAACGGCCCAUACGCAAAGCAAUCGAACCCAGCUUAUGCCAUGUAACAACGGCCCAUACACAAAGCAAUCGAACCCAGCUUAUGCCAUGUAACAUCGUCGGACAUUAAGGGGCUGUUUGGUUGCCUGCAUAUAGUGAACCAGGCUCUCAGGAUGCAGCAUGCCUCUAUUUGGUUACCUGAUCUGCCCCCGAGCCUCGCUGAGCGCAUGCAAAAACUCCUUCCGAGCCUGGCUCCUAAAGAACGCUACCUGGCUCGCUCCAAGCUCCCACGAGCUCGCACACGUGGCGAUUCCCGCUAUUCACCGCCUAUAUUCUCGCCUCCUCCCUCUCUUCUUACUAGUCCCCAUAUGCGCUUUGGUUCUUAGGGUUUGUGCUCUUCCCCCUUCGUCCUCUCUUCUGUACCUUUGCUCUUGAUCAAUUUGUGGCAUGCUAAUGCUUUCCUUGAUUUAUUGCUGGUGUCGUGGAUCUACGUCUCUCGAAGCAAGAGUGUUUUCCCCCUUUUUUUCUCUAUUUUCGUUACCGAUUUGCAAACCCUAGGUGUGAUUUGUUGUUGAUCUUGCUGUAGGCACGUAAAUUUCUUAGCUAAUUUUGAGGUAUGGAUCCAUCCUCAUGUGUAUUUCUUUAUUCUUUAUUUUUGUUUUCGUUAUAAAAUCCUAACUUAUGUAUGCAAAUCAUGUUUGUUUAGGAUCUGUGCUUGCAGAUCUGACCUCCGUUAACUCCUGUUGUGCUUUGUUGGGUCUCCUGCUCAUUGAUGUGGAUAUUUUGUUCAUCUAAUCUCCCUCUUACCUCUCCCUUUAAUCUGCGUUCUUUGAUUUGGAUGCAUGUGUUACUUUUUGAGAUUAUGAACAACUAUAUGAAGAUGUAUUUUUUCCCUAAGGUACUGCUCAGGUCUGUGAUGACACCUUUUGUUUUUGAUCCAUUGUCCUAGUCUAUGAUGUUGCACAUUUGGUCUGAGGAUAUGUCCUAGGGGGCUUUUUUAUGAGAUUUUUUGCUACUAUUUGUUGAAGCAUUUUUCCUGAGCUACUGUUUAAGUCAAUAUUGUUGAUAAAUAUGAUGGCCCUAUGAGUAAGUGGGAUGAGGAAUGGCAAAAGAACUUAAAUUAAAUUUUCAACUACAAUGACCUUCACCGUAUUGGCAUGCUCAAAAUUGGGCUAAGAUGACCUAGCUAUUUGAGUAAUUAUUUGGGAUGAGAUUGAAGACAUAUGUUAUGAUGACCGGUGCAUUUUUCUAUCUAAUUGGGUUGAGAUUGUGGCCAGUGGUUGUGAUGUUCUAUAUUUGGCCUUCACUGUAUUGGCAUGCUCUGUUAAUUGAUCUUUUUCUGGCCAAUGAUGCACAUGGUACUUAGUUGAGGUGGUUGUAUGUUGUGUACAUUUCAUGUUGCUGUUGUUUGUCAUGAGAUUCAUCAAAUUUUCUAGCAUCAUCGACUCGAAUGCAACUCUUGGGUGCACCUCAAGUUGAUGGCACUCAGUGAUGAGGCUAAAACAUUUCAUGGGUGCCAUGAGUCUGGGUUGCUCGAAAUAAUCUGUGUUGAUUUGUGUUCUUUUCAUUUGUUAGACAGCCACCAUUGACAUGUUCUUAUGCUAUAGCACUUAAUAAAAGAGUUGAGGCCAAAAGUAAACUACUUUUUAUCCUAUUUUUGGUUGUCUUUCCUUCUAUGUGGCCAAUAAAGAUGCAUAGCAUUGGGGGGUGCUUUAAUAUUAUUCAUGUUGAGUUCUUCGACCCCUAUGCUGAAGGCUAGUUGAGUACUUCAAAUCAUUCUUAUAUUAAAGCCAAUGGUGUCAAUCUAAAUAACUUGCUACUAUGUUGGUUGUAGUCAUCGAAAAGAUGCUUAAGACCUAAAGUUUCCUCUUCAGCAACUUUAGCUCUUAAAGCUUCUUUUUCAUGCAUGCUGUCAGUUUUGAACAAAGGUCUUAGGCUAUGAUUUUCAUAUGCUAUCAGUUUCAUGCCAACUUUUGUAUUCUCCAUAUCAACCUUGGUGCAGGCAACCAAACAUAGUUCCUGUUGGCCAGUUUUUGAAUAAAAGCAAAUGCAGGCAACCAAACACCAGCUGGAGCUAGCGUGGCUAGUCUCAUGCAUACAACCAAACAAAGAAGUGUUGCAUGCAUUGAGUCAGGCUGAAGCGGGCUUGGCUGGCUGAUGCAGGCCUGGCUCACCUGGGAAGAGAACCAAACAGGCCCAAAAAUGGAUAGACCGUCAAUGCUUGCCGUUGUGUUCAAUUGUAUUUACCAGCCAGCGCUCUAAAUAUAUAAUUCAAGCGUAUGUAAAUUUGGACUGAACCAAGAUUGGUGAGGACGUACAAAUCGUAGAAACUCCUCAUCGCUAAAUUAUAUUUGAUGAUCAUGAAAAUGUUAUAUUUUUGGCACUGUCUUAUAGGGCAUUAUUUCCUGAUGAAGGCUUCAUGGUGGGGUGGCCAACUUUUCAACAGAAAAGCACAGAAAAUUUGUGUAUGUGUAAACAUUGCAAACUAUACAUAGACAUAUAGCACUAUCAGUAUUCAGCUACGAGUAUUUGCUAUCAGUUCCAAGGUGAUCAUCUCAUAGCAGAAAAGGAGACAAAAGUAGAGAUGUCAAUGGGGAAUUAUUCGUCGGGGAGUGCUUCCCCAUCUCCGUCCCUAUAGGGAAGAAACUUCCCCCAUCCUUGUCCCCGUGCAGGGAAUAAUCCCCGUGGGGUUCCCCGUAUUCGCGUUAGUUCAUAUUAGUUUAUGUGAUGUUAACUAUUCACAUAUUCAUGAAUUCAUUAUACAAACAAAUUUCUUCUACAAAGAUUCAUAUUUGAGACUAAGAAAGUGAAAGAUUAGGGUUUCAACUUUACUUAUAUAUCAUAAUUAUUGGACCUUAUAAAUAUAUGGGCGUUCAGAGUCGGGUCCCGGCACGAAGCGGGAACGGGAUCAGACAUACCAUCCCCGGCCCCAUGAACCCCCGAUGGGGACAACUUUAGCCCCGUUUAAUUCCCUUUAGGGGCAAAAUUUAUACCAUCCUUAUUAUCCCCUAAUGAGUGAAUUUCCUGCGGGAAAUCAGAAACGGGGCCCUACAGGAGACGUGUUACUAGCUGAAAUGGAGACAAUUGUAAACGUGAAACACCCUAACCUUGUUUGGUAACUUGUCUACUGUGUUGGCGGUGACGAACGAUUCCUGAUACUAUAUGAGUGUACAUGGAGAAUUUCUCCCCUAAAUUCUCCGACAGCUUCCAGGGAAAGAAGCAGGGUCCACGUCACCUCAAUUAAUUUCCUCCAUUGGAUAUUUGAUCGUCUGGUCGUCGUUGCUUGGAGCGGCUUCUUUCUGGAGCAGCUUCCCGCGCUUCUUGUGAACUUCUCUGACUCCUUCUCUGUUUUUGUUUGGCUUUCUUCGGCUUCUCACUGAAUCCACAUGGAUAAAUAUAUACUCCAGCUUCUGCUUUUACCUCUCCUCCUUCCCGAUCCUUCCCGACCCCGACGCCUCUCUUCCCACGGGCAUCGCCUCCACCACGUCCUCCUGCACCUUCCCUUCCUCCCUCUCCCUCUCCCUCUCUGCCUCCUUCUCUCCCCCGACGGCAACGACGGCGGCACAACGGCCUCGGUGCGGCAGCCUCGGCGUGCGCGGCCCCUAGCGCGGCGGCCGUACAGCCCGACGCGGUGGGUGGCCGCACCUGGCCGUGGGUGCGAACGCCCCCUCCUCGGCGACGCGACCGAGCCCUGCCGGUGGCUGCCGGCGUGGCUGCCUCCCCAACGCCGCUUCCUCCCCCUACUCCGCGUGUGGUCUUGUGCUACAGGAAACCCUAGAGGUCGUGAGCGCCCAACGGCGACCCUGCCCCUAGCUCCUCUCUCUCUCUCUCCCUCCGUGUGCCCCUAUGGAUGGAACCGUUGUCUCCUCGCCAGAUUCAGCCCCAUAACAGAGAGACGCGGACACGCUCCUCAUCCAGGUCUGUGCCUUGCUUUUUGUUUGUUGAUAUUGAUUCGAAGGUCAUCACUGCCCCAGUGUAUGGUUUCAAUUGUUUUAAGUUGAUUAGACUUUUAUUCUGCUACCGAUCUAAAUUAGCAAGAAACCACUAUAUUGUAGAAUAAAAAGGAAAAACAAAAUUACUGUGUACACACGCAAUUGACAGAUGUUUAUUUUUAAUGUGAACUUCCCAUUGCCAGGAGUAGAAUGGGAGUUCAAGUCCCACUGCUUUAGUUUAUGACGAACAAUUUUAAGGUACUUUUUGGACCAUUUUCAGGCUCGCUUUUGUGAGACACAUUUUUUGUACUUCAUUUACAGUUCUAAAACUAUAGUUAUAAGGUGAAAACGUGCAACUGUCUUUCACUUGCUUGGUUAUAUAACCAUGAUUCUAGAGGAAAGUUACAGUGAACCUCUUCACCAUGAAUCGAAAUGUUCAUACUGCUUUGGCCUAGGAAAUUUAUUUAUAAUAGGUGGUUACGACGAUUACUCUCUAAUAAUCUUAGUUUACUAUUCCUUUCAGGCCGCACUGUAACCAGGCAAAUACACUUUCGCUAGCAAUGUUUCCAAUAUGAACAUAUACAAUUACUUCAGUUGUUUUCUCACAUAAUCGAGGCUUCUCAUGUCCUUCAUAGACCAUACGCUACAAAAGUAAGAUAGUCCAUUUUAUUUCUUUAUGUACUCCCACUGUAAUAAAUAAUGUUAUGAUAGUUCCUGCGAUUAAUUGGUUCAGAACCUUUUGAAAUCAGUUUCUCUGAUAGCCUGGUACUUUUCCUUUUUUGUCAAUUCUGACUGACCUUCCUCCCAAACGUCUCUGGAGCUUCACUAUUACACGUGUAAUUCCAUGGCCAACCUUUUACAUUUCCUAUACCUGUCUGGUGAAUACUAUUCCUUCUUGGACUUGACUUUGGAUUGGUAAAUUUUUUUGUAAUAAAUAGUCCCAUGGUCUAAUUAUUUUUUUGUGCAAAGAAUGGCACAUGCUCUCUUUUAUUUGUCUGUGACUUGAUCCAGAAUGCUCAUGACAAAGGACCGUUAUGGGACUCAUGACGGUGGAAAAUGGCUGCGGAGCUCAAACUGUUUGCCAUUAACCAAUGGGAGGUAGACUGAAAGCAAGCAUUCUCUAUAUUAUCUGUUGUUAAAUGUCCUUUCAUCUUUAGCAAAGAAUAUUAUCGAAGAAAAGGCAUUGUCUGGAAAUUCAUAUGUCAUAGGAACUAAUUAACUAUUUCAAAUAUUGACAUUUAACGUUUAAUGACACGUGAAUUAGCUUCAGAGACAGCUAAUAAUCUUAUGCAAUUGAAAGGAUGUUAGAUACCAUGAACCUAUGUAUCUAAAAAGCUAAAAUGUCUUACAAUUUGGAAUGGAGAGUAGCUUACAAGGUGGAUAGGAUGAUGUGUGUAGAACCAUGCUACUGAUAGGUAUCUUUUGAAUCAAAGUAACACAUUAUAUAUUUUUUUUAUAGUUAUACCAGUUUCCUAGCAUCUCAUCUAUGACUAUGAGAGAAGCCAUUUUAGUUUGUGUAAUACGGGGUUCUAUGGCUACCAGUAGAAUCAAGAUUUGUAGCUAUCAUAGCUUUACAAAGUCGCAUUUCAUCUAAAGGCCGCAUACAUCAUUUUCUAAGGCAUCUUAGUAGGCAGCCAUAUUUACAGUUACCAAUGGUGGUAUAGCAGUUCUGCUCUGCUUAUCGGACAGGGUCUUUGUGUCUCUCACACACUAUUAAUCAUAUAUGACUGGCUAAUUUAUUUUUCUACAUAAUCAAAGAAUGAUUCCAUAUAUUAGUGUGUUCUUGACAAAAUUCAUGGUGUAUACUAGGUUCAUAAGAUUGCCAACCUGAAUUAUUCUUUUUUGGAAGCAAAAGCCUUGCUGCUUUUGUCAUAUGGUCUUUUUUAUAUCUUUUUUUUGCUUCUUGAUCUGCCACAGAAUGUGAACUAUGAUAUUAGUUUCAUAAUGUUUUCCAUCAUUAGAUGGAUGCAAAAUAUAGAAGCAUUUCAGUUGAGGGAUAUAUGUGUGUGCUUUUACCUUUUUUUCUCUUCUAUUCUGUUCAAUUGAAUUUUAUUCUCACCACAUUUCCUCCAUUCCAUAUAUUUUACAUUGUCAAUAAUGUCAUCCUCAUGGCUCAUUGGCCCAGCCUUACUUUAGUUCUUAGAUAUGAGUUCAUGCUACAUAUUGAGGUUAUACAUUGCAUUUGUUGUACGUUUUUUCCUAGGAGUAUUUUUUUCUGGUGUUCCGAAAUUCAUGAGACAAUGAAAGGGCUUCUAUCAAAGUUAUUCAUGACAACAUAUAUUCGGACAGUAGUCAUCUAUUGUAAAAAGUGCUAGGCUGCUGGUAAACAUGAGAGCAUAAAAGUAUCAAUAUAAUAUAUCCUUAAAAUACUCGGGGAACUUACUAAACAUAGUUUAACCUUGCCAAUAAAUAUAGUCAGGUCAGUCUUUUAUGAAAAUAUUAGAUUUUGCAAAGCACUGAAACCUUAUUGCCUCUUCUUUAGUCUCUGAUGCUACUCAAGUGGGCUCAUGGAUUAGCUUUAUUUUAAUUUCUGUCCCUCUGCUAGAUAGUUUUAUUUUACGUGUUGAUUUGGCUGCUACAUAUUCACAAUCCUUAUGUUAUACACUAUUAGGUUAUAACAUCAAGUCAUUGUCUAGCGUCUCACAAACCCUGUUCUCUCUAAUACACAAUCGACCUAGGAUUCAGACUUGCCCAGGCUACAGCUUCACCAAACAGCCUAACUUACAGACUCUGACGACAAAGUUACAUGUUGGGGCUCUCCCUCUCGGCCACCAGGUAAAUUCCACUCCAUAGCUAAGCGGCUACAAAUAUUUAUAUUAGUCCCGGCUACGAUCUUUAUUAUUGUUACAACACAUUCAUAUAUCAUCGUACGUGAGAUAACAAUACUUUUCCCCCUGAUUACUAUAUUGUAACUGGACUGUGGUAUAUCCAAAAUAACAUCUACCAUGUUCACCUCGAUAGGCUUUUGACAAACUUGAUGAUGUGAAUCUGAUGAUGCUAUGUUGGUCUAUGCAUCCAGAGUACCAAGGAGCACCACCACUCAAAAAGCAUCCUGUCCAAGGGACACGUGAUCAUUUCUUCAUGUGCUAGCUAAUGAGACUAUGCAUGUAUAAUGCGACAUGUUUUUCUGUUCUAAUCUACAGACUUUUCAUGACUAUCCUCCUUAAUUAUUGGUCUGUUACAUUCAACCUUUGUGUUGGUUAUCCUAAUUUGCCUACCCCCUUGCUAGAUGUAUAAAUGACACAUCCUCUUCAUGUUUGUUGUUAAACUGAUGGUCCAUGUAUAUCGUGUUUCCUAUUCUCUGUCUUUAGGUUAAAUCAAACUACACUGUUACAAAAAAACCUGACAACCCGCGCGCAUAAUUAAUGGCACUAAAUUAACAUCUUUUUUUUUAUUUCCUGGUAUAAUCACAGAAGGUCGUAAUGUUAAAGGAUAAGUAUUUUGUCUCCCCUUUUGUUAGGCUUUGUCCGGCUGAUCUUCAUCUAUGUUGCACUAUAGUAAUCAACAUCAAACCAUGUAUGCCUUGCUGCGGCUUGACACUGGAGGCAGCAAUGCCAUGUUCCUAAAGAAUAAUCAUGGUUCUUGGAAACCGAGAUUUUUUUUUCUGAAAAAAAGGUUUUUCCAAGUAUUUGGUUCCUCUUUCGCUUAUCCUCCCGCGCGAUGGCGCGCGGGUUUCACUAGUGGUAGUCUUGAGACGUGGCCCGAACCAGGUUGUUGCCUUGAAAGCACUUGGAUCAUGGAUGGCCAGACCGCCUGAGUAUAAUAGUACCAAAUCAGACACUGCCAAAUUCUAUUGGGAAAGCACUUGGAUGACCAGACUUUUAGGAAAUAGUACUGCCUUAAAUAAACCGUAAUAAUAAUAAAUCAGAGGAUGCAUUGAAGGGAAAAUUGGAGCACUACUUUAAACAUCUCAAAUUAGACGAUUGCUUCAAUGCCUGAUUGAACAAGGGUACGACCCCAAUCGUGGCAUGUCUGCUUCAAAGGCAUAAAAAUAGUAACAAUGAAGGACAAUAGCAAAAUACAAAUUUCAGAACAAAAUAUGAUCACGUGGAUAGAUAAAUCUAAAAUCAGAUGACCAGCUAUGAAACAUUGGGAACACUAGAAUCACGCUUAGGCCUUGUUUAGUUGGUAAAAAUUUUAUUUUUGGCUACUGUAGCACUUUCGUUUUUAUUUGACAAACAUUUUCCAACCACGGAGUAACUAGACUCAAAAGAUUCAUCUCACAAAUUACAGGUAAACUGUGCAAUUAGUUUUUAUUUUCGUCUAUAUUUAAUGCUCCAUGCAUGCGACCAAAGAUUCGAUGUAAGGAAGAAUCUUCAAAAUUUUUGCGAACAAAACAAGGCCUUAGUAAACUGCAACAAAUUAUAAUGGAACAGUAGGCAGUCAAGCACCAUAACGGCCUCAGCCUUCAGUGCCUCAAGUUCAGCCUCCAAAGGCCUUCACCGUGAAAAGACUAUCAUGAGAUAAUUAUGUAGCAUUCACUGAUAGAGAGUACCAUAGUAAGUACCACAAUCCAAAACUUGACAGUAAAGAACAACAUCCAGGGCAAAACAGAAACCUAAGUUGACUCCCACAGUUCUUAACUAUAAUAUAGAAAGUGCAUUUAGACAACUCCCAACGGAGUAGAGCUCUUCACUCAACCAUCCUAAGCCUCUGCUGUCUCAGUUGGGGCCUCAAGCACAAGACCCUUGGUGGGCUUUCCCAGGAGGUCCGUGAACUGCUGGAACGGAGCCAUGGAGAACUUGGUCUGAGUCCAGAAUUCAGGUGUAAGGAAGCCAUAGGUCUUCAUCAAGCAGUCAAAGGUUGCCUGCACAUAACCAAACCAAAUGACUGAUAAAUGGAACUGAAUACAUAUAUAUAAGAAUGCUAAUAGGUCAACUGUUAGUGUAACCACAGAACAAACUUAAGUUAAUUUUCAAUACAGCAUGACUCACAAGCUAAGUAUAUGUAACUAAAGAACGGUGUUACAUAAGUUAAAACCUUUUUUAAAAAAAUUUCAAUAAGCAUGACUCACAAGCUAAGUAUAUGUAACUAAAGAACGGUGUUACAUAAGUUAAAACCUUUUUUUAAAAAGAUUGUAACUUUAGAUACUACAUUAUUCACAAACUAAGUUCAUACAGAAAUUCCAAUACUUGCCAUUAAGAAGGUAGAAUUUGGUGCUAGAAAAGUAGACAGCCAAUAAUAAAUGCCUAACAAGUACAAAAUUGCAGCAAACUGGUACAUCUAAAGAUGAAUUGGAACCUAACUUGAAUGAGAGAUUUUGAUAAUUAUAAUCCAAUCCGCGUGCCUUUCAAGAUUUGACAUAUCACAAUGACCUGUAUAGAGAUUUGACUUAUCACAAUGACGUGAAGAGUCAACCUGAGUCAUUGACAUAUGGGUCUGGCCGUCUGGAUGUCAAACCUUGGAUGGCUUCAGAUGUCAAUUUUAGAAAUUUCUCUGAAUGAAUUAGGUAGACAUAACAACACUAUGUACACAGUGUCCGCUGCAAAUUCAUAAUCUCAAUAAUAGAAUUAUGAUAUCACAUUAGUGUCCAUCUCUUUAGACUAAGAAAUAAAUUAAUACACUAACAACUUCUGAUGAAGUGAAAGUACAAAACCAGCACUUCCACCUAUCGCAUAUGAUACAUGAUCAAGGUAACACAUUAACACUACAAAUUCAACAUUUCACAUAAGAUCAUUCAGAUAUCAGCAAUAUGCUACUACUAGCUGGUCCUAGCAUUCCUUAAUACCAAUCCCAAGGUGCAGGUAUUGCAAAUUUCUAUUAUAAUAGAAGCAUCACAUCAUAAUAUGAAUAAGAGCGAGUAGUACCUUGACGAAGUUUCCAAGGGUCUUAGUGGAGCCACGGGACGAGGUGAAGACAUCCUCAAUGCCAGCGAACUGCAGCACCUUCUUGGGCACACGCGCGGCGACGAUGCCAGAACCCCUGGGUGCGGGCACCAUGCGCA